CUUAGUGGCGGACGGGUGAGUAACGCGUGGGGAACCUGCCUUGCACCGGGGGAUAACACUUAGAAAUAGGUGCUAAUACCGCAUAAGCGCACAGAGCCGCAUGGCUCGGUGUGAAAAACUCCGGUGGUGCAAGAUGGACCCGCGUCUGAUUAGCUGGUUGGCGGGGUAACGGCCCACCAAGGCGACGAUCAGUAGCCGGCCUGAGAGGGUGAACGGCCACAUUGGGACUGAGACACGGUCCAAACUCCUACGGGAGGCAGCAG
rnacentral:rRNA from 1 species